rnacentral:tRNA from 1 species
GGUGGCGGAAUUGGUAGACGCGCUAGACUAAGGAUCUAGUGCCGUAAGGCGUGGGGGUUCGAGUCCCCCCUUGAGCACCA